rnacentral:misc_RNA from 1 species
GGUUUAAAUAACAAUCGGUGUUGUUGCUUUCUUGUGACAUCUCCGGAGUUGGGUCACCUUUCUGCUCCUCUAAGGGACCUAAAAUUGAUGCUCUUGCGCAUCUUGACGUGUAUAAUUUCUUUUAUCUCGUCGCCGGAUGCCAAAUAAUUUAUUAGGUGUGGCCAUGUUAAGUGGUUCUCAUGCCUAUAGGAUUUUUGAU